AGAGUUUGAUCCUGGCUCAGAUUGAACGCUGGCGGCAUGCCUUACACAUGCAAGUCGAACGGUAACGGGCCUUCGGGUGCCGACGAGUGGCGAACGGGUGAGUAAUGCAUCGGAACGUACCUUCAGUGGGGGAUAACGUAGCGAAAGUUACGCUAAUACCGCAUAUUCUGUGAGCAGGAAAGCAGGGGAUCGCAAGACCUUGUGCUGAUUGAGCGGCCGAUGUCAGAUUAGCUAGUUGGUGAGGUAAAGGCUCACCAAGGCGACGAUCUGUAGCGGGUCUGAGAGGAUGAUCCGCCACACUGGAACUGAGACACGGUCCAGACUCCUACGGGAGGCAGCAGUGGGGAAUUUUGGACAAUGGGGGCAACCCUGAUCCAGCCAUGCCGCGUGAGUGAAGAAGGCCUUCGGGUUGUAAAGCUCUUUCGGCCGGGAAGAAAUCGCAUGGGUUAAUACCCUGUGCGGAUGACGGUACCGGCAUAAGAAGCACCGGCUAACUACGUG
rnacentral:rRNA from 1 species